CCGUAACUAUAACGGUCCUAAGGUAGCGAAAUUCCUUGUCGGGUAAGUUCCGACCUGCACGAAAGGCGCAACGAAUUGGGCGCUGUCUCGACCAUGGACCCGGUGAAAUUCCACUAGUCGUGAAGAUGCGACUUACCCGCGGAAGGACGGAAAGACCCCGUGAACCUUCACUGCAGCUUGGCAUUGGCCGCUGGCCCGUCGCGUAGAGGAUAGGCGGGAGGCUUCGAAGCCCGGGCGCCAGCCCGGGUGGAGCCGACCUUGGAAUACCGCCCUCGGCGCGCCGGCGUCCUAACCCCAUGCCGUCAUCCGGAUGGGGGACCGUGCCAGGUGGGUAGUUUGACUGGGGCGGUCGCCUCCUAAAGGGUAACGGAGGCGCGCGAAGGUCCGCUCGGGACGGUCGGCAACCGUCCUCUUGAGUGCAAGAGCAUAAGCGGGCUUGACUGCGAGGCCUACAAGCCGAGCAGGUGCGAAAGCAGGCUCUAGUGAUCCGGCGGCCCCGCGUGGGUGGGCCGUCGCUCAACGGAUAAAAGGUACUCCGGGGAUAACAGGCUGAUCUUGCCCAAGAGUCCACAUCGACGGCAAGGUUUGGCACCUCGAUGUCGGCUCAUCGCAUCCUGGGGCUGGAGCAGGUCCCAAGGGUACGGCUGUUCGCCGUUUAAAGCGGUACGCGAGCUGGGUUCAGAACGUCGUGAGACAGUUCGGUCCCUAUCCUCCGCGGGCGCAGGAGAAUCGAGGGAGGCUGCCCCUAGUACGAGAGGACCGGGGUGGACGCACCUCUGGUGAACCGGUUGUCGACCAACGGCACGGCCGGGUAGCCACGUGCGGCGCGGAUAACCGCUGAAGGCAUCUAAGCGGGAAGCCGUUCCCGAGAUCAGUUCUCCUUUCGGUAAGGGCCCAGGUAGACUACCUGGUCGAUAGGCCGCAGGUGCAAGCACGGCGACGUGCUCAGCCGAGCGGUACUAAUAGCCCGAGCUCUUACCCGC
rnacentral:rRNA from 1 species